rnacentral:rRNA from 1 species
UUUCGGACCUAGCGGCGGACGGGUGAGUAAUGCGUAGGAAGCUACCCGAUAGAGGGGGAUACCAGUUGGAAACGACUGUUAAUACCGCAUAAUGUCUACGGACCAAAGUGUGGGACCUUCGGGCCACAUGCUAUCGGAUGCGCCUACGUGGGAUUAGCUAGUUGGUGAGGUAAUGGCUCACCAAGGCGACGAUCCCUAGCUGGUUUGAGAGGAUGAUCAGCCACACUGGAACUGAGACACGGUCCAGACUCCUACGGGAGGCAGCAGUGGGGAAUAUUGGACAAUGGGCGCAAGCCUGAUCCAGCCAUGCCGCGUGUGUGAAGAAGGCCUUCGGGUUGUAAAGCACUUUCAGUAGGGAGGAAGGGUUAAGUGUUAAUAGUACUUAACUUUGACGUUACCUACAGAAGAAGCACCGGCUAACUCUGUGCCAGCAGCCGCGGUAAUACAGAGGGUGCAAGCGUUAAUCGGAAUUACUGGGCGUAAAGCGCACGUAGGCGGUUUUUUAAGUCAGAUGUGAAAGCCCCGGGCUCAACCUGGGAAUUGCAUUUGAAACUGGAAAACUAGAGUGUGUGAGAGGGGGGUAGAAU